CUAAGCAGCUUCCUUCAGUGCGUAGCCACGUAAGCCGCCAAUUUAUUGUUUUGAAACAGAUUUCUUCUCUUCCUGGAUUCUCAAGUAAUGAUCAUCAAGUGGGAACACGAAUUUCUGAAUUUCCCAUGUGUAUUGAUCUUGAUCCCAUGGAAGCUUGGAUUCUUCAUAGCCUGGUAAACUCUCCUUAUCCUGUUCUAUCUUGAAUUUCAUUUUUCAUCCCCGUUUCCAGAGUUUGCGAUGUGAUGAAAAUGGGAGACAACAAGAUACAGGCGGAAGAAAGUAGCCGAUUGUGAUUUUAGCUAUGCAUUUCUUUUGUAUGUGGUGUCGCCUGCCAUUAAACCAGAUUAAAGAAAAAGUUGAGUGGUAUGCUCGAAGAAGCUUCCCGCAGGGCGUUGCCGCGUAGGCCAAUGAAAGCAGCCUGCUCUUCUUGGGUUCUCAAGUCAUCAAGUGUAAACGUUUCAGCAAUAAUUUGAAGGUGAUGAAGAUGGGAGACGGAAGUAUAUAUGAAGAUGGAAGAAACUAGCCGCCCUCUUGUUCUAAACACAUCUGAUGGAGAUUUCGGGUAUGCGUUUCUUGCAUAUGUGAUGUGGCCUGACAGUAAAAAACCAGAUGAAUAUAUCAUGAGAGUAGUGCAGUUGACUCUACUGCUGUUGUUAUUAUCCCUUUGUUUUCCCUUGUAGUGCUUUGUUUUAUUGAUCUACUCAUGAAACAGCUAUGUGGGUGGCUUGCCAUUAUAUUUUAUUGAAGUUUCUAUGGUUGUCUCA